rnacentral:sRNA from 1 species
ACUCCCUGUGAUGGCCCUGAAACUUCCAGAAUGUAGAGAUGCAGAGCUGUAGGCUGUUGUCAAAGCUGUGAAUUUCAGUUUCCCCAUCAUCCGAGGCUUUGAUGGGCUGAGGAACCGGAGCCUCACAUUUGACAAAGCGUUUUAAAGCACCAUUUAUAUAUUGCGCUCUCUGCCCUUGGGGAACCCUGGCUCUGGAAGUCAAGAAGAGAGAAUGUGGAGGCGAAUUGUACAAAACGUUUGAGAGGAAAGCCACCUUCAGGAAAGUCAUAGCAGCAAGAACAGGAAGCAACUGGUCAUAUUGUGUCCAGUCUGGAAGCAGAGAGAGGGUCGAGAUCCGGGGGACAGUCUUCAGCCACUGAGCAGAUGAAGCUGGCACCUCUCCAGAGCAUUGCCCGUGGUCUCUGCAGAUAUACUAUGCAGUGGGCAUCAUGGGCUUCUAGGGCUGCAUCUGGACAUAACCAUGACUUCACUGCUGAAUUGCCACCGUUGUAGACAGGUGGACCAGUUUGGAGCAUAAGGAAGAAAUGUUGGAGAAAGUGAACUUCAGUAAAAGAAGCUAGAGUCAGUCACCUCAGUCAGUGGCAGACCGGUGAGCCUCCUUUUGUGAAUUUACAGAGAUGGUGUUUGUUCUUAUUACAAAAAGACAGCCUAAGAUCAUCUUCUGAGAAUCAAAAGAUUUUAUUGCUUUCUAGUGAUGAAGACUUUGGUAUGCAGCCCCGGAUUUGGCCACAGCUCUGAUUUUUCCCUACAGCAAGUCAAGGACCUUUCAUUUAAGAGAGGAAGAGGGAUGUACACAAGUCUCUUUGACAAAUGGGAGUGCAGAAUAUUAAAUAGUUGUUGGAUGUGAAGACAAAGAAGAAGAGAGCUGAUUGGCCCACAGCUGUGGUAAAUGUAGCCAGAAUGGAUUUUGAACAUAUCUGAACAGCAGGGACCAGUCAGCCAGAAGAGGAUCCCUUCUGGUGGGUGUCAAAACCCACAAGACCUUUGUCUUUCAGGAAGGUGAGGAAGAAGCCAGAGGUUUGUCUCCUUUGUUAUCUGUGGUUCUUUUUCCUGUCAUCUGCUGGCCAGGGGUCUCCUCAGUAGUUAGUGUCUAAGGACUUCUGAAAUCCAAAUGACAGAGAAGCAGGCAGAAGUUGUAAGCCAGAGCUCUGCUCAGCAGAUGUAGCAUGACAUCUCUAGGUCAGGUUGGAGAGGAGAUCCUCAGCCUGACUAGCACAAGAAGAAAAGAUUUCACACUGACUGAGCCUCUUUCUUUUUUAAUAUUUAGAAACAAAAUGAUCACCUUUGCUGCCAGGCAGUGCAAAGACUAGUCCAGCCCACCUUUCUUGAAAACCCAUGAUCUGCUUUUCAGGGGGAGAUGAAAGUGCAGGCAUAGACAAUGGAUCUGAAAGCUGCUGGCUUUUGAAUAUUCAUGACUAUUCUAAUGCAAAUGAAUGUUUCCAAUUGAGCUGAGUUUGGCCAGGUGCUGUUGGAAGUGCUUUAAGUUUAUAAUGUUGCUUCUCUGUUCUUUAGAUCUCCUAGAACAACUUCUCUGAGAAGGUUUCCCAGGUGUCCCACCUUGGACUGUAGUUCCUGCCCCUAAAGUUCAAGGGCUCUGGAUCCCCCCAAUCCACAGGACAGCCUGCCCUUGUUUAAUUGGGGCCCAGGUCUGAGAGGCCCUCCUUUGGCCCAGAGCCAGAGAGCCUUAUCACUCACCAGAUUGUGCUUCAACCAAAGCUCACUGCUCCCAGAAUAACAGAGGGGAUGGUGGGGGGUCUGCCAAGGUUAGGAGCACUUGUUUCAGCCCUCUUUGACUCUUGCAACUGUAAAUGGCCUUGGCCUGUAGCCUGAUGCUUUGCUAGGUCCACAGACUAUGCAAGACACACAACCCUGUGAGCUGAUGGUGGUUGCCUUUGGAGGAACACAGUGAGUCUUCAGUCUCUGUGGGUGCUAAGGGAGGAUUUCCCUGUUCAACAGGAUUUGUUGUGAGGGUUUCUGAUCAAAUUCUAGGAGGGGGGAGGGGGAAGGGAAGGGAGACAAGGAAAGUCACUGUUCAGCCAAGGACCUGUUUGGAGGAGUACAGACGCUGGUCCUGACCCAGGUCAGUGAAGGAAGUUUCCACAACUUCCACCAUCUCCCAGGAGCUGGGUGGUCCUCAGGAUCCAUUGGAGUGAAAGAUGCCACUUCUAGGUUUAAAUUGGUCCAGGAUCCUUAUACCACCUAAGGACUCUUGCUGAAGUAUCUCAGGCAUGGCCUAUGAUUCCAUUCCUUGAUUAGUUCUUGAAAUCUAUUCUUACCUCCUAGGCUUUCCAGCAGAACUUUUCACCCUCAAAUACUCUAUGGAAAAGACACUCCUCUCUAUGCCCGAUACAUACUUAUUCAAUGAGAAUCUACCUAUGUUUUAAACAGGUGACUCUAAGAGGUACAGUAGUCUCUGGUCAAUGCGUCUUGGUCUGUCUAUUCAGACUACCCUCCACCCAUAGUCCCCCUCUGCACCGUCAUCACUAGGGCUGCCAUAGCCUUCUCUGGGGUAACCUCACCUCCAAUGCCCUCUCCUCUGGGUUCCAAAGCUGCCAAAGCUAUGUUCACCUGAAUUCAGCCUCCCCAGUUUUCUUCCACGACUACCUGCUGUUUAAUUUAUCCUGGCAUUGUUAACACCUGACUUUCCCUGUGAUGAGUUUUUAGCUGUGGACUAGUUUAUUCUUAAGAAACACAUUGAUUUUCGAGGGCUGGAGCUUCAUUGCAGUUACUUAAGUCCUUCUUCCAUGUUUCCUUUCCAGGACUUCAUAGUUGUGGCCGAGGCCUGAUGUCAGUCAGACAGGCUUUGAUGAGGAUGGUACCCUGGUUCUGGCAGCUACUCAAGGACUUGGGAGAAACCUGUUUGUACCCCAAGCUUCUGGUCAAAUUGAGUGGCCCUCACCUUGAAAUAGACCCUGAAUAUGGCAUAGAUGCCAGGAACCCAGCUCUGUAAACGUUUAUAUGCAGACAAAGUCUCUCCAUGUGCUUUUAAACCAAGGAAGUUUCUACUCAGAAACUUAGAAGGCUGUCAUGAGAGAUUGCCAAGCAAGGACAAUACACAAAGGGAAGCAAGCAGAUUUUACUGAGAAGAAACAUCUCCCUGUAGCCAGAGGGGAGACGUGAAGGUGAGUUACCUAUUCAAGUUACCUAUUUAGCACGCUGAAACGGUUUUUACAUCUUGGGAAUGUGCCAUUGUGGUCCCAUAUGUAAAUUAGGCAUCAAACUCAGAUGAGUCUGAUUGGCUUAUUUGAAUGCACGUGGCAAAGUCUGCUUUGCUGACAAGUCCUGUGAAAGUACAGAGCCUUGGAAAUCGAAAGCUGGAGGUCAGCUGACAUCUUGGAGGGUCAGGGUGUUUGGAUUUUAAUUCUUUGGCUCACCAACUGUGCUGGACAUUUUUAUGUCAACAGCAUAAGUUCCAGCGUUUUUAGAAGAAGAAACCUCAAUUGAGAAAAUGCCCCCAUCAUAUAUGUAGUCAAGCUUAUGCUACAUUUUCUUGAUUGAUGAUUGAUGUGGGAGGGUCCAAUUCUCCUGUUCAGUAUCACCCCUGGGCUGGUAGUCCUGGGUGCUAUAAGAAAGCAGGAAGAGUAACCCAUAAAGAACAGCUGGUAAGGAGCGCUCCUCCAUGGCGUCCGCUUCAGUUCCUGCCUGAGUUCCUGCCCUGACUCUCUGGAUGAUGGACUACAAGCUGUAGCUGAAAUAAAAC